GGGACUACAGGAAACAGCUAUCACAUCUUCCUGGGUCAGGUACAUGCCUUUUGGUGGACGGCAUUUGGAACGCUGAGAAUGGUGGCGAUGCUGCAAGCUCUGAUACUCUCUUCUACCCAGCCCUAUCUUGCUGGUCUGAACAGGCUGCUCAUUAUUGCCCUCCUUUUUGGCUUCUUUUUUGGGAUCAUAAUCGCUAUCAUUUCCAUCCAUUGGAUGAGGUUCUUCUACAUCAUCAUCACUGUCACCUUGAUUAUUUCUAUUAGCAAGCUUUCGAGCCUGUCGAUCCAUCAAACUUGUCCUUGAGCGAGUUUUUUU
rnacentral:lncRNA from 1 species